AACGAACGCUGGCGGCGUGCCUAACACAUGCAAGUCGAACGGAGGCAGGGGGCUUGCUCCUUGCUUUAGUGGCGCACGGGUGAGUAACGCGUGGAUAAUCUGCCCGAUGCUCAGGGAUAACAUCUCGAAAGGGGUGCUAAUACCUGAUAAGCCCACGGGCUCUUCGGAGCUUGCGGGAAAAGGGGGGGACCUUCGGGCCUCCCGACAUCGGAUGAGUCCGCGUCCCAUUAGCUAGUUGGUGGGGUAAAGGCCUACCAAGGCGACGAUGGGUAGGUGGUCUGAGAGGAUGAUCAGCCACACUGGAAAUGAGACACGGGCCAGACUCCUACGGGGGGCAGCAGUGGGGAAUUUUGCGCAAUGGGGGAAACCCUGACGCAGCAACGCCGCGUGAGUGAUGAAGGCCCUUGGGUCGUAAAGCUCUGUCAGAGGGAAAGAAAUGUGGGUGGAUAAUACCCGUUCCACUUGACGGUACCCUCAAAGGAAGCACCGGCUAACUCCGUGCCAGCCGCCGCUGUAACAC
rnacentral:rRNA from 1 species